rnacentral:rRNA from 1 species
UGAUCCUGGCUCAGGAUGAACGCUGGCGGCGUGCUUAACACAUGCAAGUCGAACGGUGAACACGGAGCUUGCUCUGUGGGAUCAGUGGCGAACGGGUGAGUAACACGUGAGCAACCUGCCCCUGACUCUGGGAUAAGCGCUGGAAACGGCGUCUAAUACUGGAUAUGUGACGCGACCGCAUGCGUCUGUGUCUGGAAAGAAUUUCGGUUGGGGAUGGGCUCGCGGCCUAUCAGCUUGUUGGUGAGGUAAUGGCUCACCAAGGCGUCGACGGGUAGCCGGCCUGAGAGGGUGACCGGCCACACUGGGACUGAGACACGGCCCAGACUCCUACGGGAGGCAGCAGUGGGGAAUAUUGCACAAUGGGCGCAAGCCUGAUGCAGCAACGCCGCGUGAGGGACGACGGCCUUCGGGUUGUAAACCUCUUUUAGCAGGGAAGAAGCGAAAGUGACGGUACCUGCAGAAAAAGCGCCGGCUAA